UACAGAGGUCUCAAGCGUUUGUUCGGAUUCAUUGGGCGUAAAGGGUGCGUAGGCGGCGCGGUAAGUCGGGUGUGAAAUUUCGAGGCUUAACUUCGAAACUGCAUUCGAUACUGCCGUGCUUGAGGACUGGAGAGGAGACUGGAAUUUACGGUGUAGCGGUGAAAUGCGUAGAUAUCGUAAGGAAGACCAGUGGCGAAGGCGGG
rnacentral:rRNA from 1 species